GACGAACGCUGGCGGCGUGCUUAACACAUGCAAGUCGAACGGAAAGGCCCUGCUUUUGUGGGGUGCUCGAGUGGCGAACGGGUGAGUAACACGUGAGUAACCUGCCCUUGACUUUGGGAUAACUUCAGGAAACUGGGGCUAAUACCGGAUAGGAGCUCCUGCUGCAUGGUGGGGGUUGGAAAGUUUCGGCGGUUGGGGAUGGACUCGCGGCUUAUCAGCUUGUUGGUGGGGUAGUGGCUUACCAAGGCUUUGACGGGUAGCCGGCCUGAGAGGGUGACCGGCCACAUGGGGACUGAGAUACGGCCCAGACUCCUACGGGAGGCAGCAGUGGGGAAUAUUGCACAAUGGGCGGAAGCCUGAUGCAGCAACGCCGCGUGCGGGAUGACGGCCUUCGGGGUGUAAACCGCUUUCGCCUGUGACGAAGCGUGAGUGACGGUAAUGGGUAAAGAAGCACCGGCUAACUACGUG
rnacentral:rRNA from 1 species